GGGGGGGGGGGGGGGGGGGGGGGGGGGGGGGGGGGGGGGGGGGGGGGGGGGGGGGGGGGGGGGGGGGGGGGGGGGGGGGGGGGGGGGGGGGGGGGGGGGGGGGGGGGGGGGGGGGGGGGGGGUGUCCCCAGUUCUGUCCUGGGGUGUCCCAGCUCCACUUUGGGGUGUCCCAGCUCCAUCCUGGGGUGUCCCCAAUCCAUCCUGGGAUGUCUCCAGUUCUGUCCUGGGGUGUCCCCAGCUCCAUCCUCCAUUCUGGGGUGUCCCCAGUUCUGUCCUGGGGUGUCCCAGCUCCACUUUGGGGUGUCCCAGCUCCAUCCUGGGGUGUCCCCAAUCCAUCCUGGAAUGUCUCCAGUUCUGUCCUGGAGUGUCCCCAGCUCCAUCCUCCACCUUGGAGUGUCCCCAGUUCCAUCUUGGGGUGUCUCCUGCUCCAUCCUGGCGUGUCCCCAGUUCCAGGAUUCCACUUUGGGGUGUAAAUCCACCCUGGGUUGUUCCCAGCUCCAUCCUCCAUUCUGGGGUGUCCCCAGUUCUGUCCUGGGGUGUCCCAGCUCCACUUUGGGGUGUCCCAGCUCCAUCCUGGGGUGUCCCCAAUCCAUCCUGGGGUGUCCCAAAUCCAUCCUGGGGUGUCCCCAGCCCCAUCCUGGGGUGUCCCCAACUCCAGAGUUCCAUCCUGGGGUCUCCCAGUUCCAUCCUGGGGUGUCCCAAUUCCAUCCUGGGGUGUCCCAGUUCCAUCUUGGAGUGUCCCCAACUCCAGAAUUCCAUCCUGGGGUGUCCCAGUUCCAUCCUGGGCUGUCCCUUCACAACCAGGGUGGUGGCACCAACGAGGGGAAUCCAAAUUUCACUGCAGGGGUGACAUUAAAAAUUAAAAAAAAAAAAAAAAACAGCCUAAAACUAACAGGGAAGAAAAAAAAAUAACAACCCACCAAAAAAAAAAAAAAGGGGGGGGGGGGGGGGGGGGGGGGGGGGGUUAAUAUGUCUUAAAAAAAAAAAAAAAAAAAAAAAAAAAAAAAAAAACCUCCAAGACAGCAGAGCUUGAUGAGAGGAUGGAUCUCAGUUUGCAUAAUCCCAUAAAGGCAGAAAAACGACAGGAAUCACCUAAAAUAACCCGAACCCAAGCAGCAGCCAUCUGCCCCCAUUGCUCUAGGAUGGGAUGUAUCAUAAUAAAAAAUAAUUACAAAGAAACAACAAAAAAAAAUUACAUACAUAUGUACAGGCUACGUUGUAAACAGCACAAAACAAAAAAAAAACACAAAAAAGGAAAAAAACAGCUGGAAAGUGUGGUUGAACUUUUUAAGAGAAUAUUAUAAAUACUGUAAUAUAUCAUUUUAUUUUAUUGGCAUGCCUUUUUGUAAAUACAAAGAACUACAUAAAUUAUAGAAUGGCUUUGGCAUGCCUUUUUGUAAAUACAAAGAACUACAAAAAUUAUAGAAUGGCUUCUGGCUUAUGCCAUUGUCCAUGGUUAUUUUUAUUUUUUUAAGAUUUUUCUGUUGUCCUUAGAUUUUAGAUAGCCAGGAAAUAUCCCCCAAAGGAGAAAAAAAAUAUAAAUAAAAUACAACAACAACAACAAAAAAAAUAUUCCAAAUUAAAACCCAAUCCCCCCUUCCAAACAGCUUUUAACAAAAGCUUUAUUGCAAGUGAUAUUUGCAGCAGCAGAAAUGUUCAUUUUUGGGUUCCAAUGUGCAAUAAGUCGACCACUUCUAUGCAAGAUUUGGCUGAACUUUAAAUUGUUCUUAGGCUGGGCUGAGUCUUGGUGUGUUGGCAUUUGUGCUGGCAACUCAUGAAGCUGCUCCAUGACUUGAAAAUAAAAGGGGGGGGGGGGGGGGGGGGGGGGGGGGGGGGGGGGGGGGGGGGGGGGGGGGGGGGGGGGGGGGGGGGGGGGGGGGGGGGGGGGGGGGGGGGGGGGGGGGGGGGGGGGGGGG
rnacentral:lncRNA from 1 species